CCGCCUGGUUCCGCGACCACUGGUUCCACGAGCACCAGCAGCUCGACGAGAUGGCCGACUCCCUCGCCCUCCACGACGCCGCCGCCGACGACGACGACCUCGCCGGCCUCCUCCCCGACGACGCCUUCGACGACGACGACGACGACGACCUCUUCUUCGACCAGACCCAUAACCUCCUCGUCGAUCCCCCGCAGCCGCCCGCCGCUCUCAAGACUGGUACCGACUGACUCACUCGCUUGCUCGCUUUGUUGAUCAUCAAAAGAUCGAGUCUAAAACGAGAAUUGCAGUGAAAUUCAUC
rnacentral:lncRNA from 1 species